rnacentral:tRNA from 1 species
AUUAGCUCAGUUGGAUAGAGCAGGGGACUUCUAAUCCCAAGGUCAGCGGUUCGAAUCCGUUAUG